UACGAAGGGGGGCUAGCGUUGCUCGGAUUUACUGGGCGUAAAGGGCGCGUAGGCGGACAGUUUAGUCAGAGGUGAAAGCCCAGGGCUCAACCUUGGAAUUGCCUUUGAUACUGGAGAGCUUGAGUCCGGAAGAGGUGAGUGGAACUCCGAGUGUAGAGGUGAAAUUCGUAGAUAUUCGGAAGAACACCAGUGGCGAAGGCGGCUCACUGGUCCGGUACUGACGCUGAUGUGCGAAAGCGUGGGGAGCAAACAGG
rnacentral:rRNA from 1 species